rnacentral:rRNA from 1 species
GGGCCCGCACAAGCGGUGGAGCAUGUGGUUUAAUUCGAAGCAACGCGAAGAACCUUACCAGGUCUUGACAUCCUUUGACCACUCUAGAGAUAGAGAUUCCCCUUCGGGGGCAAAGUGACAGGUGGUGCAUGGUUGUCGUCAGCUCGUGUCGUGAGAUGUUGGGUUAAGUCCCGCAACGAGCGCAACCCUUAUUGUUAGUUGCCAUCAUUACAGGUUGGGCACUCUAGCAAGACCGUGCCGGUAGACAAACCGGAGGGAAGGUGGGG